rnacentral:rRNA from 1 species
UACGGAGGGUGCGAGCGUUGUCCGGAAUCACUGGGCGUAAAGGGCGCGUAGGCGGCUUGGGAAGUCCGUGGUGAAAGCCCGAGGCUCAACUUCGGGUCGGCCAUGGAUACUCCUAAGCUCGAGUCGACUAGAGGCUAAUGGAAUUCCGGGUGUAGCGGUGGAAUGCGUAGAGAUCCGGAAGAACACCGGUGGCGAAGGCGGUCUGCUGGGCAGUUUCUGACACUGAGGCGCGACAGCGUGGGGAGCAAACAGG